UACGGAGGAUCCAAGCGUUAUCCGGAUUUAUUGGGUUUAAAGGGUGCGUAGGCGGCUUAUUAAGUCAGGGGUGAAAGACGGUAGCUUAACUAUCGCAGCGCCUUUGAUACUGAUGAGCUUGAAUACACUAGAGGUAGGCGGAAUGUGACAAGUAGCGGUGAAAUGCAUAGAUAUGUCACAGAACACCAAUUGCGAAGGCAGCUUACUAUGGUGCAAUUGACGCUGAGGCACGAAAGCGCGGGGAUCAAACAG
rnacentral:rRNA from 1 species